rnacentral:tRNA from 3 species
GGAAGGGUAGCUCCAAUGGUAGAGCAGCGGUUUGAAGCACCGCCAGUGUUGGUUCGAUUCCAGCCCCUUCCA